AGUGAACGCUGGCGGUAGGCCUAACACAUGCAAGUCGAACGGCAGCACAGUAAGAGCUUGCUCCUACGGGUGGCGAGUGGCGGACGGGUGAGGAAUACAUAGGAAACCACUUUUUCGUGGGGGAUAACGUAGGGAAACUUACGCUAAUACAGCAUACGACCUACGGGUGAAAGCAGGGGAUCUUCGCACCUUGCGCGACUGAAUGAGCCGAUGUCGGAUUAGCUAGUUGGCGGGGUAAAGGCCCACCAAGGCGACGAUCCGUAGCUGGUCUGAGAGGAUGAUCAGCCACACUGGAACUGAGACACGGUCCAGACUCCUACGGGAGGCAGCAGUAGGGAAUAUUGGACAAUGGGCGCAAGCCUGAUCCAGCCAUACCGCGUGGGUGAAGAAGGCCUUCGGGUUGUAAAGCCCUUUUGUUGGGAAAGAAAAGCAGCAGGUUAAUACCCCGCUGUUCUGACGGUACCCAAAGAAUAAGCACCGGCUAACUUCGUG
rnacentral:rRNA from 1 species